rnacentral:tRNA from 1 species
GAAGGUAUGGCUCAGUGAUAGAGUGCAUUUCUAGCAUGCACAAGGUCCUGGGUUCAAUCCCCAGUAUCUCCA